UACGUGGGUGGCAAGCGUUGUCCGGAUUUAUUGGGUUUAAAGGGUGCGUAGGUGGUCUAUUAAGUCAGUGCUGAAAUAUCCCGGCUUAACCGGGAGGGUGGCAUUGAUACUGAUAGACUUGAGUAGAGUUGAGGUAGGCGGAAUUGACGGUGUAGCGGUGAAAUGCUUAGAUAUCGUCAAGAACACCAAUAGCGAAGGCAGCUUACUAAGCUCUAACUGACACUGAUGCACGAAAGUGUGGGGAUCAAACAGG
rnacentral:rRNA from 1 species